rnacentral:rRNA from 1 species
AUGGAAGAGUCGGGCAAGGAGCAGUCGCCAAACUCAAGCUCCUCCCAGUCUCAGUACAGGGGCGUGAGGAAGAGGAAAUGGGGCAAGUGGGUGUCGGAGAUCCGGCAGCCCGGCACCAAGACCCGCAUUUGGCUCGGCAGCUUCGAGUCGGCCGAGAUGGCCGCGGUGGCGCACGACGUGGCGGCGCUGCGGCUGCGCGGCCGGGACGCGCAGCUCAACUUCCCGGGGUCGGUGGACCGGCUGCCCCGGCCGGCGAGCUCGCACCCGGACGACGUCCGCGCCGCGGCGGCGGAGGCGGCCGAGCUCGUGCGGGGCGAGCCAGCACUGGUGGCGCGGGGGGCAGCCGAGUGCCCCGGGUGGGAGCUGGUGGACGGGAGGGGGAGCGACGAGGAGUUCGAGGUGGACUCGCCCAGGCUAUGGGCCGAGAUGGCGGAGGCCAUGCUGCUGGAGCCGCCAGCAUGGGCCACGGGCGCCAGCGAGAUGGACCAGGCCGCGCACUGCUGGUCGCACGGGUCCCUCUGGGACGCCUACUAA